GGGUUGUGAGGUUAAGCGACUAAGCGUACACGGUGGAUGCCCUGGCAGUCAGAGGCGAUGAAGGACGUGCUAAUCUGCGAAAAGCGCCGGCGAGGUGAUAUGAACCCUUGACCCGGCGAUGUCCGAAUGGGGAAACCCAGUGUGAUUCGUCACACUAUCGUUAACUGAAUACAUAGGUUAACGAGGCGAACCGGGGGAACUGAAACAUCUAAGUACCCCGAGGAAAAGAAAUCAACCGAGAUUCCCCCAGUAGCGGCGAGCGAACGGGGAGCAGCCCGGAGUCUGAAUCAGCUUGUGUGUUAGUGGAACGGUCUGGAAAGUCCGACGGUACAGGGUGAUAGUCCCGUACACGAAAGCACACUUGCUGUGAACUCGAAGAGUAGGGCGGGACACGUGGUAUCCUGUCUGAAUAUGGGGGGACCAUCCUCCAAGGCUAAAUACUCCUGACUGACCGAUAGUGAACCAGUACCGUGAGGGAAAGGCGAAAAGAACCCCGGCGAGGGGAGUGAAAAAGAACCUGAAACCGUGUACGUACAAGCAGUGGGAGCACCUUCGUGGUGUGACUGCGUACCUUUUGUAUAAUGGGUCAGCGACUUAUAUUCUGUAGCAAGGUUAACCGUAUAGGGGAGCCGAAGGGAAACCGAGUCUUAACUGGGCGUUAAGUUGCAGGGUAUAGACCCGAAACCCGGUGAUCUAGCCAUGGGCAGGUUGAAGGUUGGGUAACACUAACUGGAGGACCGAACCGACUAAUGUUGAAAAAUUAGCGGAUGACCUGUGGCUGGGGGUGAAAGGCCAAUCAAACCGGGAGAUAGCUGGUUCUCCCCGAAAGCUAUUUAGGUAGCGCCUCGUGAACUCAUCUUCGGGGGUAGAGCACUGUUUCGGCUAGGGGGCCAUCCCGGCUUACCAACCCGAUGCAAACUACGAAUACCGAAGAAUGUUAUCACGGGAGACACACGGCGGGUGCUAACGUCCGUCGUGAAGAGGGAAACAACCCAGACCGCCAGCUAAGGUCCCAAAGUCAUGGUUAAGUGGGAAACGAUGUGGGAAGGCACAGACAGCCAGGAUGUUGGCUUAGAAGCAGCCAUCAUUUAAAGAAAGCGUAAUAGCUCACUGGUCGAGUCGGCCUGCGCGGAAGAUGUAACGGGGCUAAACCAUGCACCGAAGCUGCGGCAGCGACACUAUGUGUUGUUGGGUAGGGGAGCGUUCUGUAAGCCGUUGAAGGUGUGCUGUGAGGCAUGCUGGAGGUAUCAGAAGUGCGAAUGCUGACAUAAGUAACGAUAAAGCGGGUGAAAAGCCCGCUCGCCGGAAGACCAAGGGUUCCUGUCCAACGUUAAUCGGGGCAGGGUGAGUCGACCCCUAAGGCGAGGCCGAAAGGCGUAGUCGAUGGGAAACAGGUUAAUAUUCCUGUACUUGGUGUUACUGCGAAGGGGGGACGGAGAAGGCUAUGUCAGCCGGGCGACGGUUGUCCCGGUUUAAGCAUGUAGGCGGAGGUUCCAGGUAAAUCCGGUACCUUAUUAACGCUGAGGUGUGAUGACGAGGCACUACGGUGCUGAAGUGAUAAAUGCCCUGCUUCCAGGAAAAGCCUCUAAGCAUCAGGUAACACGAAAUCGUACCCCAAACCGACACAGGUGGUCAGGUAGAGAAUACCAAGGCGCUUGAGAGAACUCGGGUGAAGGAACUAGGCAAAAUGGUGCCGUAACUUCGGGAGAAGGCACGCUGAUGUGUAGGUGAAGCCCCUGCGGGCGGAGCUGAAAUCAGUCGAAGAUACCAGCUGGCUGCAACUGUUUAUUAAAAACACAGCACUGUGCAAACACGAAAGUGGACGUAUACGGUGUGACGCCUGCCCGGUGCCGGAAGGUUAAUUGAUGGGGUUAGCUGUAAGGCGAAGCUCUUGAUCGAAGCCCCGGUAAACGGCGGCCGUAACUAUAACGGUCCUAAGGUAGCGAAAUUCCUUGUCGGGUAAGUUCCGACCUGCACGAAUGGCGUAAUGAUGGCCAGGCUGUCUCCACCCGAGACUCAGUGAAAUUGAACUCGCUGUGAAGAUGCAGUGUACCCGCGGCAAGACGGAAAGACCCCGUGAACCUUUACUAUAGCUUGACACUGAACACUGGUCCUUGAUGUGUAGGAUAGGUGGGAGGCUUUGAAGCGUGGACGCCAGUCUGCGUGGAGCCGCCCUUGAAAUACCACCCUUUAAUGGCUGGUGUUCUAACGUAGACCCGUAAUCCGGGUUGCGGACAGUGUCUGGUGGGUAGUUUGACUGGGGCGGUCUCCUCCCAAAGAGUAACGGAGGAGCACGAAGGUUGGCUAAUCCUGGUCGGACAUCAGGAGGUUAGUGCAAUGGCAUAAGCCAGCUUGACUGCGAGCGUGACGGCGCGAGCAGGUGCGAAAGCAGGUCAUAGUGAUCCGGUGGUUCUGAAUGGAAGGGCCAUCGCUCAACGGAUAAAAGGUACUCCGGGGAUAACAGGCUGAUACCGCCCAAGAGUUCAUAUCGACGGCGGUGUUUGGCACCUCGAUGUCGGCUCAUCACAUCCUGGGGCUGAAGUAGGUCCCAAGGGUAUGGCUGUUCGCCAUUUAAAGUGGUACGCGAGCUGGGUUUAGAACGUCGUGAGACAGUUCGGUCCCUAUCUGCCGUGGGCGCUGGAGAAUUGAGGGGGGCUGCUCCUAGUACGAGAGGACCGGAGUGGACGCAUCACUGGUGUUCGGGUUGUCAUGCCAAUGGCACUGCCCGGUAGCUAAAUGCGGAAGAGAUAAGUGCUGAAAGCAUCUAAGCACGAAACUUGCCCCGAGAUGAGUUCUCCCUGAGACUUUAAGUCUCCUGAAGGAACGUU
rnacentral:rRNA from 2 species